rnacentral:rRNA from 1 species
GACGAACGCUGGCGGCGUGCUUAACACAUGCAAGUCGAACGGUGAAGCGCUUGCCUUUUUGGUGGGUGUGGAUGAGUGGCGAACGGGUGAGUAACACGUGAGUAACCUGCCCUCUUCUUCUGGAUAACCUCAUGAAAGUGGGGCUAAUACGGGGUAUUCCGGGUCUGUCGCAUGGCGGGUUUGGGAAAGAUUGCGCCUUUGGGUGUUUUCGGUGGGGGAUGGGCUCGCGGCCUAUCAGCUUGUUGGUGGGGUGAUGGCCUACCAAGGCGGUGACGGGUAGCCGGCCUGAGAGGGUGGACGGCCACACUGGGACUGAGACACGGCCCAGACUCCUGCGGGAGGCAGCAGUGGGGAAUAUUGCACAAUGGGCGCAAGCCUGAUGCAGCGACGCCGCGUGAGGGAUGGCGGCCUUCGGGUUGUGAACCUCUUUCGCCAGUGAAGCAGGCCUGCUCCUGUGUGGGUGGGUUGACGGUAGCUGGAUAAGAAGCGCCGGCUAACUACGUG